CACACAAUAUUAAAUAUGAUCAGAACAUGAAGCAGCCUGAUGUGUGGCAGUAAGCUCAGAACAUGGCCAUGGGCUUACCUCAUGAGCAGCACCACUUACAUCAGAGCACUUCCAUUGAGUAGAUCUUGGUCCUGGGACGCCAUGUAGGGUGAUGUUGGACAGACAGAUAGCAGUGAAAGGAGAGUUCUUCAGGCCUUGUAUGGAACCCGGUUGCUGAA
rnacentral:misc_RNA from 1 species